CCUGAGCACGGUGUUAUGUGCACUUAACCAGGUGCCCCCAUCACCCAGCCCCUGUGGAUGCUUUUCUGGUUGUCUCCGUCCUCCUCCCCUGGGCAGAAGAGACCAGGAGGCAGAGGAGAGAUCUCUGCAAGAGGGAGAUGAGAAGAAAGACACAGAGAGGCCUAGGAGAAGCUGCAUAGAAGGCAGCUGCAAGCUGGUCUCCAACGGCCAGGCCAGGUGCCAGUACCCCCACACCGGGAUACCAUAAGGCACCUAAUGGCGCAGGUCUGGUCACCAAGCAGAAACAGAAGCUCAGCUGGCCGUGGCAGAUUCGCACCUGACUCGAGGCCUCCCACCACCUGUUCUGACUGGAAGAGAUCCGCAGAACACACACCAGGAGUCCCUGGCAGUGGACAGGGAACGGGAAACUCGGAGAGUCCAUGUAGAACAGGAUGUCUUGGCCACAUCGGUGAAACUCCAGAAGAAGUUUCGGGAAACUCAGGAUUUGGACAGUGAGAGACAACUGAAAGUUCCGUUCCUGACAUGACCCUGCAGAGGACAGCACAGAGGAGCUGAAGACAGGCAGUAUCAACAUUCACGGCACAAUUAGGAGAAAGACUUGGGAAGGUUCGUGGUUAUUAUCCCAUGUAAAAACCCACUCUGAAUAGCUCUUGAUUCAUUUUUUAGUUCCUUCAUCUAAUAUUUAAGAUCUUCCCUCUUCUGUUUGGCAAAUGAAAAAAGCAGAACUCGACAUGGCAAAUCAAACCCGUGUGCCCCAUUCUUUCAGCCUGCACCGCCCCAAGGCAGUCUCUGAGUUCUUGACGCAGAUGGACACAAGACAGAACCAUUUUGUAGAAUUCUGAAAUGACUCGUUUGCAUUUUGACAAAACUCAGAGAAACAGUCAAAUUUUUCAAAGCUGUGAAACUGGAGAGGGGGCUGUCCUUAAAAUUCUACCAAUCAGAGGGGGCUGGGUGGUAGUGCUGCGGGUUAAGCGCACAUGGUACAAA